rnacentral:snoRNA from 1 species
AUGGCAUGAUGGGGACAUUUGUUGAUGAGAUGCUUUAAUCGUUACCAUGAUUCAUGGAACUGCUCACCCUCUUGUUGCAAGAAGCUAGUGAGAGCUCGUCUUAUCU